UCUUGGGGAUGGUUAAGAGGUAAUUCACCAGUUGAAAAUGGAAGCGAGGAACAGCAAUUGCUGGCCGUGUCGUCUCAGAUGGCCUCGCUGCCUCCGCUUGGACCUCAUCACCAACCCGACCUCCAGGCCUUGAACCUCGCCGCGGCUCCUCGCCGCCCGGAGAUGGCCGAAGACAAGCAAGCAUCUGUUGUUGAGGGGAAUGAUCAAGUAACUGGUCAUAUCAUCUCCACUACCAUUGGAGGCAAGAAUGGUGAACCAAAGCAGACCAUUAGUUACAUGGCAGAGCGGGUUGUGGGGACUGGUUCGUUUGGUAUAGUCUUUCAGGCCAAAUGCUUGGAAACAGGGGAAACAGUUGCAAUAAAGAAGGUCUUACAGGACAGAAGAUACAAAAAUCGUGAGCUACAACUGAUGCGUGCAAUGGAUCAUCCUAACGUGAUAUCUCUAAAGCACUGUUUCUUCUCCACCACGAGCAGAGAUGAGCUCUUUCUCAAUCUGGUUAUGGAAUAUGUCCCAGAAACCCUGUACCGUGUCCUGAGGCACUAUAGCAAUGUGAACCAGAGGAUGCCACUCAUCUAUGUGAAGCUUUAUACAUAUCAGCUAUUUAGGGGCUUAGCUUAUAUUCAUACUGUUCCAGGAGUUUGCCACAGAGAUGUCAAGCCCCAAAAUGUGUUGGUGGAUCCUCUUACUCACCAAGUCAAGCUCUGUGAUUUUGGAAGUGCAAAAGUUCUGGUUAAAGGUGAAGCAAACAUAUCAUACAUCUGCUCUCGUUAUUACCGUGCUCCAGAGCUCAUAUUUGGUGCAACCGAAUACGCAACAUCAAUUGAUAUAUGGUCAGCAGGUUGUGUUCUUGCUGAGUUACUUCUUGGCCAGCCAUUGUUUCCUGGAGAAAGUGCUGUUGAUCAGCUUGUUGAGAUAAUCAAGGUUCUUGGAACUCCAACCCGGGAGGAGAUUCGGUGCAUGAAUCCUAACUACACGGAGUUUAGGUUUCCACAGAUAAAAGCACAUCCCUGGCAUAAGGUCCAAUUUUUUCGAUUUAUCUCGUCUUGUUGUAACUUUUAUUUUUCAUGUGAUUUAUCAUUUUGAGCUCAUGACAUAUAUAGAGUGCUUGGGCAUACCGCCAUAAUCAUCAUUUGAUUCUGAGAAUAACUAAUACUGGGUGUUAUUGGAUGACUUGUUCUCAAGGAGCAUCCUGAAGUAACCAGCGAGUGAUUCCACCAUGAUAUUCCACAAGCGAAUGCCUCCAGAAGCAAUAGAUCUUACAUCACGUCUUCUCCAAUACUCGCCAAGUCUUCGUUGCACUGCAUUAGAUGCAUGUGCCCAUUCCUUCUUUGAUGAACUACGAGAGCCUAAUGCACGAUUGCCAAAUGGUCGCCCUCUUCCUCCUUUGUUUAACUUCAAACACGAAUUGGCAGGUUCCUCGCCCGAGCUCAUUAACAAGCUAAUUCCGGAACAUGUGAGGAGGCAAUCAGGUCUCAGUUUCUUGCACCCGGCAGGGACAUAAGAAGCUUUUAGCUAUUUUGAACUAUAUACCAUGAUCAAAAGCAAGAGGGGGAUUUAAUGGUUUUCAUGCACUGGAAAGUGUUUAGCAAGUGAGAUUGUUCGCAAGAUGGAAGCUAAACAAGCAGUGUUGCUGGUUUGUUUGCGUGGCUCUAAGCAUACCGUCCAGCCAAUGUUUUAGGCUCUGUAUAUUGUAUGGUAUAAGGGUCGUUGUGACCUGAAAGCUAACUGUUGAUGCUGACUGUUCAGAAGUGAGAUAAGCAUGGUGGAGGGGUAGGAGAGCAGUCCUUGCAAUGUUGUUUGGUUUGUGUUGGACACUGUAGCAAUUGUCUUGUUUCUCAUUUUAUUUUUCAGUGCUGGUGCAUGUUGUAAGUGCAUGUGGCUUGUAACUUGUUGUUUCAUGUAAUGUACCAAAAUCCAGAGUUUUGAAGCCAUGGAGCUGGAAA